rnacentral:ncRNA from 2 species
CACCUCCCCGCGGGAGAGAGCGGCGAGGCCGGUCUGACCGGCUCCUGCCGCCGCCGAAGGCGCAACCGGCCCCCGGAAACGCUCAGGCAAAAGGACCGCGGCGGAGCA